UGUCGGUCUCACAGAUUCUGGUGCCGAGGAUCUCGUCUCCGCUCUCAGUACAAACCCAUCACUUACGGAUCUGAACCUGGGAUCAAACUCUCUGACAGACCGAUCUGUCCCCGGUCUCCGCCGCCUCAUACAGACCCUCCCGAGUCUGAAGCGGAUCUGGCUGUGGGGGAAUCGGUUCAGUGGGACCGGGGAGAAGGAACUGAGAUCUCUACAGGGAGUCAGACCCGGACUGAGAGUGGAGACCAGGUGAACAUCUGAAUGUGGGGAAUCGGUUCAGUGGGACCGGGGAGAAGGAACUGAGAUCUCUACAGGAACCCAGACCCGGACUGAGAGUGGAUCUGUGAACAUCUGAAUGUGGGGAAUCGGUUCAGUGAGACCGGGAUGAAGGAACUGAGAUCUCUACAGGAACCCAGACCCGGACUGAGAGUGGAUCUGUGAACAUCUGAAUGUGUGAAUCGGUUCAGUGAGACCGGGAUGAAGGAACUGAGAUCUCUACAGGAACCCAGACCCGGACUGAUGGUGGAUCUGUGAACAUCUGAAUGUGGGGGAAUCGGUUCAGUGAGACCGGGAUGAAGGAACUGAGAUCUCUACAGGAACCCAGACCCGGACUGAUGGUGGAUCUGUGAACAUCUGAAUGUGGGGAAUCGGUUCAGUGAGACCGGGAUGGAACUGAGAUCUCUACAGGAACCCAGACCCGGACUGAUGGUGGAUCUGUGAACAUCUGAAUGUGGUGAAUCGGUUCAGUGAGACCGGGAUGAAGGAACUGAGAUCUCUACAGGAACCCAGACCCGGACUGAUGGUGGAUCUGUGAACAUCUGAAUGUGGGGAAUCGGUUCAGUGAGACCGGAUGAAGGAACUGAGAUCUCUACAGGAACCCGGACCCGGACUGAUGGUGGAUCUGUGAACAUCUGAAUGUGGUGAAUCGGUUCAGUGAGACCGGGAUGAAGGAACUGAGAUCUCUACAGGAACCCAGACCCGGACUGAGAGUGGAUCUGUGAACAUCUGAAUGUGGUGAAUCGGUUCAGUGAGACCGGGAGGAAGGAACUGAGAUCUCUACAGGAACCCAGACCCGGACUGAUGGUGGAUCUGUGAACAUCUGAAUGUGGGGAAUCGGUUCAGUGAGACCGGGAUGAAGGAACUGAGAUCUCUACAGGAACCCAGACCCGGACUGAGAGUGGAUCUGUGAACAUCUGAAUGUGGUGAAUCGGUUCAGUGAGACCGGGAUGAAGGAACUGAGAUCUCUACAGGAACCCAGACCCGGACUGAUGGUGGAUCUGUGAACAUCUGAAUGUGGUGAAUCGGUUCAGUGAGACCGGGAUGAAGGAACUGAGAUCUCUACAGGAACCCAGACCCGGACUGAGAGU